GACGAACGCUGGCGGCGUGCUUAACACAUGCAAGUCGAACGGUAAGGCUCCAGCUUGCUGGGGUACACGAGUGGCGAACGGGUGAGUAACACGUGGGUGACCUGCCCUGCACUUCGGGAUAAGCCUGGGAAACUGGGUCUAAUACCGGAUAGGACCGCACCGUGAGGGUGUGGUGGAAAGUUUUUUCGGUGUGGGAUGGGCCCGCGGCCUAUCAGCUUGUUGGUGGGGUAAUGGCCUACCAAGGCGGCGACGGGUAGCCGGCCUGAGAGGGUGGACGGCCACAUUGGGACUGAGACACGGCCCAGACUCCUACGGGAGGCAGCAGUGGGGAAUAUUGCACAAUGGGCGGAAGCCUGAUGCAGCGACGCCGCGUGGGGGAUGACGGCCUUCGGGUUGUAAACUCCUUUCACCAUCGACGAAGGGUUUCUGACGGUAGAUGGAGAAGAAGCACCGGCUAACUACGUGCCAGCAGCCGCGGUAAUGCGUAGGGUGCGAGCGUUGUCCGGAAUUACUGGGCGUAAAGAGCUCGUAGGUGGUUUGUCGCGUCGUCUGUGAAAUUCCGGGGCUUAACUCCGGGCGUGCAGGCGAUACGGGCAUAACUUGAGUACUGUAGGGGAGACUGGAAUUCCUGGUAUAGCGGUGAAAUGCGCAGAUAUCAGGAGGAACACCGGUGGCGAAGGCGGGUCUCUGGGCAGUAACUGACGCUGAGGAGCGAAAGCAUGGGGAGCGAACAGGAUUAGAUACCCUGGUAGUCCAUGCCGUAAACGGUGGGCGCUAGGUGUGGGUUUCCUUCCACGGGAUCCGUGCCGUAGCUAACGCAUUAAGCGCCCCGCCUGGGGAGUACGGCCGCAAGGCUAAAACUCAAAGGAAUUGACGGGGGCCCGCACAAGCGGCGGAGCAUGUGGAUUAAUUCGAUGCAACGCGAAGAACCUUACCUGGGCUUGACAUAUACAGGAUCGCGCCAGAGAUGGUGUUUCCCUUGUGGCUUGUAUACAGGUGGUGCAUGGUUGUCGUCAGCUCGUGUCGUGAGAUGUUGGGUUAAGUCCCGCAACGAGCGCAACCCUUGUCUUAUGUUGCCAGCACGUUGUGGUGGGGACUCGUAAGAAACUGCCGGGGUUAACUCGGAGGAAGGUGGGGAUGACGUCAAAUCAUCAUGCCCCUUAUGUCCAGGGCUUCACACAUGCUACAAUGGUCGGUACAGUGGGUUGCCAGUCCGUGAGGGCGAGCUAAUCCCGCAAAGCCGGUCUCAGUUCGGAUCGGGGUCUGCAACUCGACCCCGUGAAGUCGGAGUCGCUAGUAAUCGCAGAUCAGCAACGCUGCGGUGAAUACGUUCCCGGGCCU
rnacentral:rRNA from 1 species